UUCUCCCUUCCUUUUGUUUGAUUUUUUUUUCUUCUUCUUCUCUUGCUUUCUUUCCCUUGCUUUCUUUCCCCUAUUUUUCCAUGCCUUUUCACUCCUCUCCCUCUUUUCCUCUCUUUUCUCUCCCGCAGCGCCCACGGCAGAGCGGAGCGCGGUGCGGGAGCGGGGCGGAAUUUUGGAGCAGAUGAUGUGGUGAAAGGCAAAACCCUCCUGACAGAGCACCUGGCUGCCCUCCUGGCGUGGCUGGGCAGAGUUCUGGGGGACAGGGUUAAACUUUGCCCGGCACACGGAGCCUCAUUACCAUGACGCUGUCAUAGGACUGCAGCACUGCAGUCAGGCAGAGCCCGGCUCCAUCCCCGGCUCUGCUCCCAAACUCUGCUCCAGCCUCCCCCAUCAUCCACACAGCACAAGUUUCUGCUAAUUAAACAAACCUGCUUCAUUAAUUUUACUGAAAGUUUCUGCCAUAGGCACAAACCCCUUUGGAUUUCACUGGGGCUCAAAAUAAAAUUGCUGCCUAUCAGGGUGUUGUGUUUUGUUUCUUCUUAGGGUGAAAGAUAUAUUGUGAUCUGGUUUAUUAAUGGGUUUUGUUUCCCCCUGAUAAUAAAGACUGGGAGGUGGGAACAGAUUAUGGUUUUAUCCACAAGAAAAACUCACUGUGUAAGGAAACACAGAGUUAACAGAGGUGCUUGGGAGCUUUUAUUAUCCUUUUAAUCUCCUGAAUACAAGGACUGGCAGAUGGAACUUUGUAAUAAAAUUGCCUCUCAUUAAAUACCUUGGUGUUUGAAAUCCAUUUACCCCGUAUGUAAAAUAAAUUGUUGCUCUAUAAUCAGGCAGGGCUAGGUUUGAUUUAUUUAUUUAAUAGCGAUACCAAGCAAUGCAAACUUUUAUGGAACACAAUACAUCUCAUGGAUUGCUUUAAAGAUCAGGAUAUUUAGAAGCAGAAAAGUUGGCAUUCACUGAGGUGUUUAGCGCAGAAAUUCUGAAAUAAAAUUCAUUGUUUUAAUUGAAAACAA